rnacentral:rRNA from 1 species
UUCAGGGUAGCAAUACCUGAUGAGAGUGGCGCACGGGUUGCGUAACACGUAUGCAAUCUGCCUUAAACCGGGGAAUAGCCCGUGGAAACAUGGAUUAAUACCCCAUAAUAUUACUGAUAGGCAUCUAUUGGUAAUUAAAGCUCCGACGGUUUAAGAUGAGCAUGCGCGUCAUUAGCUAGUUGGCGGUGUAAUAGACCACCAAGGCUACGAUGACUAGGGGGUCUGAGAGGAUGUCCCCCCACACUGGUACUGAGACACGGACCAGACUCCUACGGGAGGCAGCAGUAGGGAAUAUUGGGCAAUGGUCGCAAGACUGACCCAGCCAUGCCGCGUGCAGGAAGACUGCCCUAUGGGUUGUAAACUGCUUUUGUACGGGAAGAAACCCCUUUACGUGUAAAGGGCUGACGGUACCGUAAGAAUAAGGAUCGGCUAACUCCGUGCCAGCAGCCGCGGUAAUACGGAGGAUUCUAGCGUUGUCCGGAUUUAUUGGGUUUAAAGGGUGCGUAGGCGGAUUAUUAAGUCAGAGGUGAAAGCCGGCAGCUCAACUGUCGAAUUGCCUUUGAAACUGGUAGUCUUGAAUACUGUUGAGGUGGGCGGAAUGUAUCAUGUAGCGGUGAAAUGCUUAGAUAUGAUACAGAACACCGAUUGCGAAGGCAGCUCACUAAGCAGUUAUUGACGCUGAGGCACGAAAGCGUGGGGAUCAAACAGGAUUAGAUACCCUGGUAGUCCACGCCGUAAACGUUGAACACUUGCUGUUGGCGAUAUACAGUCAGCGGCUCAGCGCAAGCGUUAAGUGUUCCACCUGGGGAGUACGGCCGCAAGGUUGAAACUCAAAGGAAUUGACGGGGGCCCGCACAAGCGGAGGAGCAUGUGGUUUAAUUCGAUGAUACGCGAGGAAC